GCCAGGCAUGGUGAUGUGUGCCUGUAAUCUCAGCUACUCAGGAGGCUGAGGUGGGAGGAUUGCUUGAGCCUGGGAGUUCUGGGCUGCAAUGCCUAUGCUGAUCAGGUGUCCACACUAAGUUCAGCAUCAAUAUGGUGACCUCCCGGGAGCAGGGGACCACCAGGUUGCUUAAGGAGGGGUGAACCAGCCCAGGUCAGAAAUGGAGCAGGUCAAAACUCCUGUUCUGAUAAGUAGUGGGAUCAUGUCUGUGAAUAGCCAUUGCACUCCAGCCUGGACAACAUAGCAAGACCCUGCCCCC
rnacentral:SRP_RNA from 1 species